CGGGUGUAUGGCUGACCAGUGAAGCAAUCUGGAGGUGCAGAAGCCAACUGCAAAUCAUGACACAGCCAGAUUCUAGAUUCUCCAGGCUCUGAACAAGGACUCACACCAGAGACUCCUGGGAACGCUCUAGGGCUUCAGCCUCGGACUGUGACUACACCGGUGGUGGUGGUCCUUCUCAUCGUUCUAAGGCUCUGCCUUCUUGGACUAAUCAGCUCCUGGUUCUCCAGCUCUCCAGCUUGCAAAUGCUACUUGGGGACUCUCUGGCCUCUGAGUUCGUGAGGCGAUCAGGUGGAUUCCCUCCAGUGAGUGCCUUGAUGUCCGUCAACCACCUGCCCCAAGAAGAUGCUUCCAAUUUCCUGCCUGGAAGGUGCACACCUGGGAGCCAAAGGGGAAAGGAGUUUAGGGAUUUCAGCAUUCAUCACCUAAACAUCUGCUGGUUUUUAGUGCAGAAGCCGCUCUGCUCUCCAGGCAAUAAACCUCCAGUGUUCUGCUGGGGUAGAGGAGAGAUUGUCACCCAGGAGAGGAGGUCGGAGGUCAAGUAGCUCCUGGAACAGCCUUUCCACAGUCCUGGCUGUACCUGUGGCUGCCAAGUCCUGCUCCUUGGGGGUGCUCUGUGGAAAGGAG
rnacentral:lncRNA from 1 species